CCUACGGGAGGCUGCAGUGAGGAAUAUUGGUCAAUGGACGAGAGUCUGAACCAGCCAAGUAGCGUGAAGGAUGACUGCCCUAUGGGUUGUAAACUUCUUUUAUAUGGGAAUAAAAUGUUCCACGUGUGGGAUUUUGUAUGUACCAUAUGAAUAAGGAUCGGCUAACUCCGUGCCAGCAGCCGCGGUAAUACGGAGGAUCCGAGCGUUAUCCGGAUUUAUUGGGUUUAAAGGGAGCGUAGGUGGAUUGUUAAGUCAGUUGUGAAAGUUUGCGGCUCAACCGUAAAAUUGCAGUUGAAACUGGCAGUCUUGAGUACAGUAGAGGUGGGCGGAAUUCGUGGUGUAGCGGUGAAAUGCUUAGAUAUCACGAAGAACUCCGAUUGCGAAGGCAGUUCACUGGACUGCAACUGACACCGAGGCUCGAAAGUGUGGGUAUCAAACAGGAUUAGAUACCCGAGUAGUC
rnacentral:rRNA from 1 species